rnacentral:tRNA from 1 species
GGAGGGGUCGCAUAGCGGCCGAGUGCAGAAGUCUUGAAAACUUCCAGGUGAUGAGCCUCGUGGGUUCGAAUCCCACCCCCUCCGCCA